rnacentral:rRNA from 1 species
CGUAUCUUAGUGGCGGACGGGUGAGUAACGCGUGGGUAACCUGCCUUACACUGGGGGAUAACACUUAGAAAUAGGUGCUAAUACCGCAUAACAGUAGGAGACGCAUGUCUUUUACUUGAAAACUCCGGUGGUGUAAGAUGGACCCGCGUCUGAUUAGCUUGUUGGCGGGGUAACGGCUCACCAAGGCAACGAUCAGUAGCCGGCCUGAGAGGGUGAACGGCCACAUUGGGACUGAGACACGGCCCAAACUCCUACGGGAGGCAGCAG